rnacentral:rRNA from 1 species
CGGGACGGGUGAGUAAUGUCUGGGAAACUGCCCGAUGGAGGGGGAUAACUACUGGAAACGGUAGCUAAUACCGCAUAACGUCGCAAGACCAAAGAGGGGACCUUCGGGCCUCUUGCCAUCGGAUGUGCCCAGAUGGGAUUAGCUAGCAGGUGGGGUAACGGCUCACCUAGGCGACGAUCCCUAGCUGGUCUGAGAGGAUGACCAGCCACACUGGAACUGAGACACGGUCCAG